rnacentral:lncRNA from 1 species
GUCUUUUGUGUCAGAAUGAUUAGCGGUUUUACCUAGUUUUACGUUGGGUUUUACGUAUUCUCACAUUCUGUCUGCUAGCCGCUAGGAUUUGAUUGUCAAACAAGCAGUGUUUUUUAUUAUUAUUUGCUGUCUCUCAAUACCAUGCUCAAUACCCAUGCUUGUAAGUCACAUUUUGACAGUUCGGGUCGACGUUUUGACAUUCAGGCCCGGGUCUACUCAUGGAACGUCAUAUACAACUGGUGUCUCAAUCCAACCAAUGAAAAAUGCAGCAUGGAGGUUGAUCAACCUGUUGUUCAAGAUUCAAGAAAACAUGAGCCUUACACACCUGCCCCACAAGCUGUUGAUCUCACUCCGUCACUCCUGACAAAUGUGGUGUUUUGAAAGAAAUCAAGCAGGCAGGAACUGGCAAUGGACUGCUCAGAGCAAGAGCAUCUCAGUCUACUACACAGGCUGUUUGACGAAACAUGGAACUUGAUUCCAGUUUGGACAGCUAGGGGAGAAAUUAAAAUUCCACCUUGGCAAAGGCAGUGUAUAAUAAAGCCGUGGAACCUUACUGGUGUAGCUACCAUUGAAGCGUGGAGAGGUGGCAGUCUUGUAAAUUGUAAAUCCAAUUAUGCCUGCAGAGAAAAUGAAAACCCACCUAAAAAUUCCUCAGAAAAGCCACAAGAUUGCUGGUGUUUGAGGUUGGAGGAAUUUUAAAUCAAACCUUGAAAGUUGGCAGUGGUUAUUCAAGUCCUAAUAAAGAAUGCACUUGUUGAAGUUUCACUGGUCGGUCGACACGGGGACACGGUAUAUUUUAUCAACAGUAUUUAAGUUUCAAUCUUCGAGAAGGUUUAGAGCACAACAUUCCUGACGGUGUUGAACAUGCUCUGUUGAAAUUCAAGAAGCAAGAGAGGAGCUUGAUUAAAUUGACACCGGCUCUGCCAGUAACGAGCAACUCGCUGUUCCAUACACAACGCCAACCUCGAAUGCAAGAUUGAACUCAAGAGCUUCGAAAAGGCUAAAGAGAGCUGGAAGAGGUUAAACUCUGCAAGGAAAAAGGAAUCAAUCAUUUCAAAAGGCCUAAUACGUGGCCAACAAACGACUACUCCAAAAUCGUCCCCUCCUCGAGUUUGAACAAACUCUUAAAGACGAGAAAGCUACAGAACGAGAACAGCUUAUGUUAGCAACACAAUCAAUCAGUCCAUGUGCUGUUUAAAGUGAAGCGAUUUCUGUGCAAUUCGUGAUCAAUGCCAAAAGGCGCUAGAAAUGGACCCAAAAAUGAAAAAGGUUUAUUCCUCGUUGCCAGGCACUUGUGGGCAUCUACGAGCUGGAGGAAGCCAAGAAACAUUUCGAGGCGAUUCUCCAACUUGAUUCGAUUAUCAAGGCGGCCACCAAUCAAAUGGUGAUCUGCAACGCAAGAUUUGCAAGCAACGCGAAACGGACAAGAAAUUGUACUCUAGCAUUUUCAACAAGAUGGACGUAAAUGAUUGACAGGUUAAACAAAAAGAAUGAAGGCAAAUGGCUUUACGGUUGGUGGGACGAGUCGACGAAAGGUGUCUAGCUAUACGCUGAUCUGGCUCUAAUCGAACGAGAUAAACAAGAAGCUGUGGAACAUUUAAAGGUCGAUCGUAGGAAAAUUAAUGCAGAUUUUUUCAAGCGCUACUGGCAGGAAACCCAAUAUCGUAUCAGUCAACGGGAAGCCGCUGAAUGUGAAUGAAAAUGACGGUAUGGAAAAUAGUGAAAUAGCUUCUUCCUACCAAAUAGCGGAGUCUACAGAAGCACCAAACGACAAUCAGAUGAUCUUCGUUAAAGGUUUUCGCGAUGCUUUUGCACUAUUUGAAUUUAUGAAAUUUAAUUUUGUGUCUCAUCUUUUCAAAUAAAAAUUCUGGAUUUGGCGGGUAAAUUUAAUAAUUGAAAAUGGAGAUUCUAUCGCAGUUAACGAACCGAAACCUACCCACUAAUGAAAAACUUUUUAGGAAAUGCUGGCUCGGUUGAAGUUGUCUCAGCCACCGUCGUAUAUUUGACUUCUGAUAUGCAAAUUAAUAUCACGCUAUAAUGGAGACAUGGCGAUGGAAGCCAAAUUCGUGUAUCAUUCAGCUUAAAAUAACAAAACAAAACAAAAUUAAUUUAACUCAAUCUGUAUAAGUAUAAGUAUAAAUGUAAUCUGAAUAAGUGUAAAUUUUUUCCCUCUUGUGAGAUGGUUUUCUAUGGCCUUUCAAAGUGUUGUUUAAGCUUUAAGUCUACCAAUCCGAUCACUUACUAAGUUUUACUCCUCGGUCAGUGUCAUCUGUAAAUGAUCCUUCACUUUAACUUUAGUUUUGAUUUUUUAAAAUUCUAUAUUCCCAACCACUGCUUACAUCACCAGCACUCCUGCUUUCUAAGAAGUGAUUGAUAGAAGCUAGAUGACUAGAGAUGGUACUUGACAACACUGUUACACAGAUAAGUUAAUGGAAAUAUAGGCGUCAGAUAUAUAUCCUUGGCAAUCUUAUCAUGCAUUAAGUUUCGUCGUUGAAUACCCUUUUUUUUAUAUAAUAGAAAAAGGAACAGCAAUAUGCCCAUUGUUUUUUAUUCACAAUCUUCAUUCAACAAAUCAAUCAUAAUAUGACAUAAGGCUGUUCAACGUUAUUGUGACCUUACCCUUGCUUGAACUUUAUUUUCUCAGUAUCGCUUGACCUCUAUUUUGUACAUGUUAUCAUUUUUGCCUUCCUAGAACUUUAUUUAUAAUUUUUUAGCACGUAGAAUAUCAAUUCCCUUGGCGGCAAUAAACUUGGCUGACC